rnacentral:misc_RNA from 1 species
AACUGAUACUACCUGCGGGAACCUGCGGAAGGAUCAUUAUCGAGUUUACAACUCCCAAACCAUUGUGAAUCUUACCUUUUCGUUGCUUCGGCGGGAUCGCCCCGGGCGCUUCGGUGCCCCGGAUUCAGGCGCCCGCCGGGGGACCUAAACUCUUGUAUUAUAGUGGAUUUCUGAGUGGAUUACACAAAUAAUCAAAACUUUCAACAACGGAUCUCU